rnacentral:rRNA from 1 species
GAUGAACGCUGGCGGCGUGCCUAAUACAUGCAAGUCGAGCGAAUGGAUUAAGAGCUUGCUCUUAUGAAGUUAGCGGCGGACGGGUGAGUAACACGUGGGUAACCUGCCCAUAAGACUGGGAUAACUCCGGGAAACCGGGGCUAAUACCGGAUAACAUUUUGAACCGCAUGGUUCGAAAUUGAAAGGCGGCUUCGGCUGUCACUUAUGGAUGGACCCGCGUAGCAUUAGCUAGUUGGUGGGGUAACGGCUCACCAAGGCAACGAUGCGUAGCCGACCUGAGAGGGUGAGCGGCCACACUGGGACUGAGACACGGCCCAGACUCCUACGGGAGGCAGCAGUAGGGAAUCUUCCGCAAUGGACGAAAGUCUGACGGAGCAACGCCGCGUGAGUGAUGAAGGCUUUCGGGUCGUAAAACUCUGUUGUUAGGGAAGAACAAGUGCUAGUUGAAUAAGCUGGCACCUUGACGGUACCUAACCAGAAAGCCACGGCUAACUACGUGCCAGCAGCCGCCGUAA